GUAGGUGAACCUGCGGAAGGAUCAUUACAGUGUUCCCUGCCCUCACGGGUAGAAACGCCCACCCUUGUGUAUUAUAUCUUUGUUGCUUCGGCAGGCCGCCCUCGGGCACCGGCUCCGGCUGGAUCGUGCCUGCCAAAGGAAACCCAAACUCUGAAUGUUAGUGUCGUCUGAGUACUAUCUAAUAGUUAAAACUUUCAACAACGGAUCUCUUGGUUCUGGCAUCGAUGAAGAACGCAGCAUCUGACUGACU
rnacentral:misc_RNA from 1 species